rnacentral:lncRNA from 1 species
GGCCACCACGUCCCCAUGGCCACCAUGACCCCAAGGCCACCACAUCCCCAAGGCCACCACGUCCCUUGUCCCCGAGCCCGGUCACGUGGCACACACAGGUUUGGGGGGAAGCGCCUUUAUUCCAUGCAUCAGAGGGGGACAAGGGACGGGGGUGGGGGGUGGGGACAUCCCAAAGAGGACAGGGACGGGACAGGGAGGUUUGGGGACACCUGGGGAAGUUGGGGACAUCCCAAGGGGGACAACAACGGGAUGAAGAGGUUUGGGGUCACCCCAAGAAGGAAGGGAUGAGAUUUGGGGUCAUCCCGAGGAGCAGAAGAACGGGACGAGGAGGUUUGGGGUCACCACAAGAAGGACAGGAUGAGAUUUGGGGUCACCCCAAGAAGGACGGGAUGAGAUUUGGGGUCACCCCAAGAAGGACGGGAUGAGAUUUGGGGUCACCCCAAGAAGGACGGGACGAGGAGAUUUGGGGUCACCCCAAGAAGGACGGGAUGAGGAGGUUUGGGGUCACCCCAAGAAGGACAGGAUGAGAUUUGGGGUCAUCCCAUGGAGGAGAAGGACGGGACGAGGAGGUUUGGGGGUCACCCCAAGGAGGACGGGACGAGAUUUGGGGUCACCCCAAGAAGGAUGGGACGAGGAGAUUUGGGGUCACCCCAAGAAGGACAGGAUGAGAUUUGGGGUCAUCCCAUGGCGGAGAAGGACGGGAUGAAGACAUUUGGGGUCACCCCAAGAAGGACGGGAUGAGAUUUGGGGUCAUCCCAUGGCGGAAAAGGGCGGGCUGAGAUUUGGGGUCACCCCAAGAAGGAUGGGAUGAGAUUUGGGGUCAUCCCAUGGCGGAGA